rnacentral:rRNA from 1 species
CCUACGGGAGGCAGCAGUGAGGAAUAUUUGUCAAUGGGCGCGAGCCUGAACCAGCCAAGUCGCGUGAGGGAGGACGGCCCUACGGGUUUUAAACCUCUUUUGCCGGGGAGCAACGGGCGCCACGUGUGGCGUCACUGAGAGUACCCGGAGUACAAGCAUCGGCUAACUCCGUGCCCGCAGCCGCGGUAAUACGGAGGAUUCGAUCGUUAUCCGGAUUUAUUGGGGUUAAAGGUUGCGUAGUCGGAUCGUUAAGUCGGUGGUAAAAUUGAGGGGCUAAACCCCUUACCGCCAUUGAAACUGGCGUUCUUGAGUGGAAGAGAGGUAUGCGGAAUGCGUGGUGUAGCGGUGAAAUGCAUAGAUAUCACGCAGAACCCCGAUUGCGAAGGCAGCAUGCCGGCUUCCGACUGACGCUGAAGCACGAAAGCGUGGGGAUCGAACAGGAUUAGAUACCCCUGUAGUC